rnacentral:lncRNA from 1 species
CGGGUUCCUUCAAAAUUUACCGAGAUACCCUCGGCGGAUGAGAGCUUCGAUCUCAUCCUUAAGCUAGAUGCAUUGCUCGGUAUUGUGGCCGUGGCCCCGGUGGAAUCGGCAGUACUUCCGUCGGUCGAGGCCUUUUGCCUUCAGAGGCGGAGGCCGUCGCAGGUAUUCUUCCCCCUCGAUCUCCAUCAAAAUCUGCGCACGGG